rnacentral:rRNA from 1 species
UACGGAGGAUGCGAGCGUUAUCCGGAUUUAUUGGGUUUAAAGGGUGCGCAGGCGGGAGAUUAAGUCGGCGGUGAAAUUUUGCAGCUCAACUGUAAAAGUGCCUUCGAAACUGGUUUCCUUGAGUGUGGAUGAAGUAGGCGGAAUUUGUGGUGUAGCGGUGAAAUGCAUAGAUAUCACGAGGAACUCCGAUUGCGCAGGCAGCUUACUAAACCAUAACUGACGCUCAGGCACGAAGGCGUGGGGAUCAAACAGGAUUAGAUACCCCGGUAGU